AAUAUCGCGACAACAGAGAGAGGCAAGCGUCCGACUGUGCCUGCGACAGCGCCCUCAUGUGUGUGGAGGCUGUGCAGAAUGCCGCGGCCGUUAGUUGAGAGGCUGAGCUCCGGAAGUGCCGGCGCUGGUAAUCUGAGGUGCGGGCUCCUGGUAAUGAUGGUUCCCGAGGCUCUGAAGUCCGGAAGUAGGUUUCCUUGGAAGCGGACGCCCACUCAGCGUCGUUCAAAGCUAAACUCACCGUGUCACUUUCAAGCCUGUUUCUUCUUAAACCCCAAGCCUGUGGGAUUCGGGAUUAGACAGCAGACUGAUUCCUCUUUCUGCCCAAGAGUGCAAGAGUCACAGGGGAGUCAUUAAUGAAGUCAGUUGCGUCUAGUUUAUUCUGGAGACACCAGCACCUGAGGGAUUUGUCAGAGGACUGGUGCUGAAGCUCCAAUACUUUGGCCCCCAGAAGCAAAGAGCCGACUCAUUGGAAAAGAGACCCUGGUGCUGGGAAAGAUUGAGGGCAGGAGGAGAAGAAGGCAACAGAAGACGAGAUGGUUGGAUGGCAUCACUGACUCAAUAGAUAUGAGUUUGAGCAAACUGGGAGAUAGUGAAGGACAGAAGACUGUUGGGCUGGAGUCCACGAGUUUGCAAAGAGUUGAACACGACUUAGCGGCUGAACCGCAACAGUAAGUUGGUUCCAAAUUAGGAAUGUGACCACUUGUGCCAGGGUUCUUAGAAGCACUUCCUCAUCCCUAAGAGUGGUCUUCUUUCUCUGGAUACUGGCGUGUUUGGAUUGUGAUGCCAAGGUUUUUUGCUAUCAUCUGUCUCUUGCCCAAGGAGGAAGCUGUUCUCUGAAGGAUGAGAGAGUAAAGAUUGGAGGAGCCUUGGAUCCUUCAUGACCUUGUUGUGCAACAGCAUCUAUCAACCUUGCCCUCCCUAUGAACUUCCUUGUUAUAUGAUAUAAUAAAUUUCCCAAUUGUUUCAGUAUUAGUCACAGUGUGAAUGGGUUUUAUUAUUAGCAGCUAAAACAUUCUGUUCACCAAGUGCCACUUGGUAACACUGAUUUUCC
ensembl:lncRNA